rnacentral:rRNA from 1 species
GCGGACUCCCUGGCGGUGGACGCGGUAAUACGCGGUGGUCAAGCGUGGUUUGGAAUUACUGUGCGGAAAGGGCGCGUAGGUGGCCAACUAAGUCAGACGGGAAAUCCCUCGGCGUAACCGGGGAACUGCGUCUGAUACUGGAUGGCGUGAGUUUGGGGGAGGGACGCGGAAUUCGAGGUGUAGCGGUGAAAUGCGUAGAUAUCUGGAGGAACACCGGUGGCGAAGGCGGCGUCCUGGACCAACACUGACACUGAUGAGCUAAAGCCAGGGGAGCAAACGGGAUUAGAUACCCGUGUAGUC